rnacentral:misc_RNA from 1 species
GUGAAUCAUCAAAUUUUUGAACGCACAUUGCACUCUCUUGGAAUCGUAUGACUGUUUGUGUGUGAGUAUCAAUUAAAAUCGGAGUGUUGCGCCUUUGUGACGCUCCGGUGUUUGUGUCAUCUUAAUAUCCUAUCGGUUUUAAGAGGCUUAAAAUUGACUUUUUUUGCGCAUUUUAGCUGUACAUAAAUUCUUUUUUUUAUUCGUCUGUCUUAAUGCUCAAAAUCUUAUUAGAUGCGACAAUAUCGUGUGGCUUAGUGUCUAUAAAUUUUUCAUGAUUUAAUCUCAAAUCAGGUA